CCUACGGGAGGCAGCAGUGAGGAAUAUUGGUCAAUGGGCGGAAGCCUGAACCAGCCAAGUAGCGUGCAGGAUGACGGCCCUACGGGUUGUAAACUGCUUUUAUACGGGAAUAACGCGCCUUACGUGUAGGGCUUUGCAUGUACCGUAUGAAUAAGGACCGGCUAAUUCCGUUGCAGCAGCCGCGGUAAAACGGAAGGUCCGGGCGUUAUCCGGAUUUAUUGGGGUUAAAGGGAGCGUAGGCCGCAAGUGCAGCGUGCGGUGAAAUGUCCGGGCUCAACCCGGGCCUUGCAGCGCGAAAUGGCGUGCUUGAGUCCGCGGAAAGCAGGCGGAAUUCGUCGUGUAGCGGUGAAAUGCUUAGAUAUGACGAAGAACCCCGAUUGCGAAGGCAGCUUGCUGCAGCGGAACUGACGCUGAUGCUCGAAAGCGCGGGUAUCGAACAGGAUUAGAUACCCCGGUAGUC
rnacentral:rRNA from 1 species